rnacentral:lncRNA from 1 species
UUCUUCGAGCGCGAGCAAUGAUUCCUGUCACAAACAAGCACGUUAGUAAUAGACACCUGCAAAAUAAAGCACAGUUAUUAUGAUCAAUGCAUGGAUGCAGUGUCUAUCCAUAUGAAGGACACUUUGUCUCUUGAUCCUGGUAUCACUGAGACAAACAAUAAUCCGGCACUAAUAUUCAGUCAUUCAGCAUUUGAUUUUGUGGUGCAGAUCGGAGAU